GACGAGGGGUCCAAGCGUUGUUCGGAAUCAUUGGGCGUAAAGCGGGUGUAGGUGGAUUUGUAAGUCAGGAGUGAAAGCCCCAGGCUUAACCUGGGAAGUGCUUUUGAUACUGCAAAUCUUGAAUGUGGGAGAGGAUGGUGGAAUUCCUGGUGUAGUGGUGAAAUACGUAGAUAUCAGGAGGAACUCCGGUGGCGAAGGCGGCAUCUGGCCCAAACAUUGACACUGAGACCCGAAAGCGUGGGGAUCAAACAGG
rnacentral:rRNA from 1 species